rnacentral:rRNA from 1 species
UGGAAACUGAUUUACUUGAGUGCGAUAGAGGCAAGUGGAACUCCAUGUGUAGCGGUGAAAUGCGUAGAUAUGUGGAAGAACACCAGUGGCGAAAGCGGCUUGCUAGAUCGUAACUGACGUUGAGGCUCGAAAGUAUGGGUAGCAAACGGGAUUAGAUACCCCGGUAGUCCAUACCGUAAACGAUGGGUGCUAGUUGUUAAGAGGUUUCCGCCUCCUAGUGACGUAGCAAACGCAUUAAGCACCCCGCCUGAGGAGUACGGCCGCAAGGCUAAAACUUAAAGGAAUUGACGGGGACCCGCACAAGCGGUGGAGCAUGUGGUUUAAUUCGAAGAUACGCGAAAAACCUUACCAGGUCUUGACAUACCAAUGAUCGCUUUUGUAAUGAAAGCUUUUCUUCGGAACAUUGGAUACAGGUGGUGCAUGGUCGUCGUCAGCUCGUGUCGUGAGAUGUUGGGUUAAGUCCCGCAACGAGCGCAACCCUUGUUAUUAGUUGCCAGCAUUUAGUUGGGCACUCUAAUGAGACUGCCGGUGAUAAACCGGAGGAAGGUGGGGACGACGUCAGAUCAUCAUGCCCCUUAUGACC